CCCAGUCUCUGUGGCGUCCUGAUGGCCGCAGGUUCCAAUGUGUGUGCCAAUUUUCAAGAGUUUUUGAGCAUGUUAAGGCCCCCAAAAACCCCCGGAAGGUUUAAUAAAAAAAAUAAAUAAAUAAUAAUAAUAAUAAUAAGAAGAAGAAGAAAUAUAGCUGCAAGCAGCGAUGGCGGGCUCAAGCCGUCAGUGCAAACGCCACCCCGGUGGCAUCGGGAAAACUGUGCCCAGCGGGCAUAAGCAUUUACAGUAACCCUCUGGCAAUCAAUUUUAAGGGAUACGGCAGUUAAAGGGUUAAUCCGACCCAUCUAGACUUUGAAAUCACAUACACAGAACAAUAUAUAUAACUUUAGUAACACUUUAUUUUAAUA